rnacentral:rRNA from 1 species
GACGAACGCUGGCGGCGUGCCUAAUACAUGCAAGUCGAGCGGACUAAUGGGAGCUUGCUCCCGUUAGUUAGCGGCGGACGGGUGAGUAACACGUGGGCAACCUACCUGUAAGACUGGGAUAACUUCGGGAAACCGGAGCUAAUACCGGACGACAUAAAGGAACUCCUGCUCCUUUAUUGAAAGAUGGCUUCGGCUAUCACUUACAGAUGGCCCCGCGGCGCAUUAGCUAGUUGGUGAGGUAACGGCUCACCAAGGCGACGAUGCGUAGCCGACCUGAGAGGGUGAUCGGCCACACUGGGACUGAGACACGGCCCAGACUCCUACGGGAGGCAGCAGUAGGGAAUCUUCCGCAAUGGACGAAAGUCUGACGGAGCAACGCCGCGUGAGCGAUGAAGGCCUUCGGGUCGUAAAGCUCUGUUGUUAGGGAAGAAUAAGUGCUAGUUAAAUAAGCUGGCACCUUGACGGUACCUAACCAGAAAGCCACGGCUAACUACGUGCCAGCAGCCGCGGUAA